GUCUCGAACUCCUGACCUCAGGUGAUCCCCCACCUUGGCCUCCCACUUGUCCAACUUUCUGUUAAAUAAAUUGUGUGUGUGUAUGUGCAUGUGCGUGUGUGUGUGUGUGUGUGUGUAUGUAUAAAUCAAGUUAAACUCCAAAGUUCCUGAAAUAUAAGGACAAAGUUUUGCAUUCUGUAUUCAGUGCUAAGAUUCUUUGCUCAUGUGAAAAAGGUCAUUCAAAAUCCAAAACAAGAUUAAAAGUUUGCUAUAGACCUG
rnacentral:lncRNA from 1 species